UCUGAAUCUGCGAAGUCGUUGU
rnacentral:misc_RNA from 1 species